rnacentral:rRNA from 1 species
UGAUUCUUCGGAUGAAGGUUUUUGUGACUGAGUGGCGGACGGGUGAGUAACGCGUGGGUAACCUGCCUCAUACAGGGGGAUAACAGUUGGAAACGACUGCUAAUACCGCAUGACGCAUGACCGGGGCAUCCCGGACAUGCCAAAGAUUUAUCGCUGAAAGAUGGCCUCGCGUCCGAUUAGAUAGUUGGCGGGGUAACGGCCCACCAAGUCGACGAUCGGUAGCCGGACUGAGAGGUUGGCCGGCCACAUUGGGACUGAGAUACGGCCCAGACUCC